rnacentral:rRNA from 1 species
GGUUAACGCUGGCGGCGCGCAUAACACAUGCAAGUCGAGCGAGGGCUUAUUUCUCGCAAGAGAGAUAAGUUCCUAGCGGCGAACGGGUGAGUAACACGUGGGCAACCUUUCCUAUCGCGGGGGAUAACAGCGGGAAACCGCUGCUAAUACCGCAUGUCAUCACUGGUCGCAUGGCUGGUGAAGAAAGCAGCAAUGCACGAUGGGGUGGGCCCGCGGCCUAUCAGCUAGUCGGUGGGGUAACGGCCUACCGAGGCGAUGACGGGUAGCUGG